CCGCAGCGCACGAGGUUCGGCGGCGCGUCGACUAGCGGUGACGGCGCCACAAGCGUGAGGUGCGUCGCUGCAAGGCGCUCGAACGGGUAGCCAGCCAUCGCCGUCGGCGACGAAGGCAGCGGGCGGCUGCGCAUCGCCUGCACGGGCGAGGGCGUGGUGUUCGUGGCCACAUUGGCUGACUUCCUGGCGGACGUCGAGCUCCUCGACCUGCCCUCCGGCGUGCCGCUACUGGACGAGCUCGCCGCUGGCCCCGCCCUCUGGCGCGCAGCUGCUAGGCGAGCUCUCCGCUGGACUCGGUACCGAUGGGUUCCGCCCCUCGGACCUGCUGCUGCUCGUGCAGGUCACGGAUUUCGCCUGCAGUGGGUUCGUCGCCGGCAAGUUGCUCUUCAGUGCUGAUGCUGGACAAAAUAUCAUUAAGGAACCUCAACUUAUAGCUCCCCAAAAUGAAAGAAAUGAUCAAGUUCGUUCAAAGAAAUGAUAAGGGCGUCAAAGGAGGAGUACGAGCAACUUCCUCCCUACAUGAAGAGUCUAGCAUCCUGGGAAGUCUGAAUUUCUUACCUACUUGGACGCUUGUAGUUCCGCCCAUAGAAAUUUAUGCAUGCUGGAUAUGCAUAGUCACAAAAUUACAACAUGUGGUUCUUGAAAUUAGUAACUUUACAACAUGUGGUUCGUGAUUCAUGAGCCAGGGCAAUAGCAAUGUUAUCAGUGUGGUCUGCCUCAGAGUUGCGCUGUUUUGUUGCAUUAGGAAUUGCAGGAUGGAAUAUGCGAAUUAAAUUUAUACUUUGGCAGUAACAAUGCAUUGAAUCAAGAUGGUACUAGAGCAUUAGGACUUGGUAUGUGCAGUUACUUCUCUUCUCCUAUAAAUUUGGAAAUUUCAAAUGUUAUAGCACUCUGAAGAAAAACUUUUUGUUAGGUUGCUGUUUCAUUGCCACAUGCUCUUGAUGAAUUUUUGGUUGUGUUAUGGUAGUUAGCCAUGGUUCUUACAUGUGGCAAAAUUACACUCUUUGAGGAUAGCAAUCGUGGUUUUCAAAUAUUAAUUUUUAGAAGUAUUAUGAUAUAAGGUUUGAGAAUUUAUUCUUAAAUGUGUGGAAAUCAUCCUAAAUUUCAUUAAAAUAAAUCCACUAAUGCAUUUGUGGACGUUGCAUAUCUUUGUAAUACUGAAGUUGAGAUGAUGCCUUCAUGCAACAGCAAAGAAAAUUGAAAAGGAAAUGAAAGGUGUUGAUCUAAAUGUUCAUGCACCUGUCAUCCUUAUGUUAGAAAAAAGCCAUUCAUUAUUUUCACAUCCCAGGAACAAUUGGAGUUUGAGUACAUAUGCACAAUUUAGAUUGCCACUGUGCUGUAUAGAGUACACAAGUACCAUAAUGCACACCCUGCACCUGUAGUUACUUAUACUCAUUUGUGAUCUUUGUGAUAGGUUUUGACUUUGGAGUAUAAUGCAUGUAUCCUGUACUCAUUGUGCAACAGAAGGCCCCUGGUUUUGUUAUUCUUCCUGCUCUCCUAUGUUUAUUUCUAAUUUUCUCGUGUGGUUUCUUAACAGGCUGGUAAAUUGCCAAUAGAAGUUGUUGCAUCCAGAGGAUAGACGGUAUGCAUUGAGAUUGAUUUACUUGUAACAAACCCUUUGAAGAAAUUUCCAAACUUGAGCAUUCCUCAAAUGCUUAAACAAGAAGCAUGCAUUCUUGCUCUCUAAUAUUUAUUUGAUUCUAUUGCUGGAUUUAACUA